rnacentral:pre_miRNA from 7 species
UUCUCAGUUUUCUGGGCGCUCCCAAAUCCCGGACGAGCCUCCAAAUGUAAGACGCCCCUUCCGGGGACCCCCACUCUAGUCUCGGGAGUGUGAGAGCACCCAAAGAAACACGAGGACCC